rnacentral:rRNA from 1 species
GACGAACGCUGGCGGCGUGCCUAAUACAUGCAAGUAGAACGCUGAAGGAGGAGCUUGCUUCUCUGGAUGAGUUGCGAACGGGUGAGUAACGCGUAGGUAACCUGCCUGGUAGCGGGGGAUAACUAUUGGAAACGAUAGCUAAUACCGCAUAAGAGUAGAUGUUGCAUGACAUUUGCUUAAAAGGUGCAAUUGCAUCACUACCAGAUGGACCUGCGUUGUAUUAGCUAGUUGGUGGGGUAACGGCUCACCAAGGCGACGAUACAUAGCCGACCUGAGAGGGUGAUCGGCCACACUGGGACUGAGACACGGCCCAGACUCCUACGGGAGGCAGCAGGAGGGAAUCUUCGGCAAUGGACGGAAGUCUGACCGAGCAACGCCGCGUGAGUGAAGAAGGUUUUCGGAUCGUAAAGCUCUGUUGUAAGAGAAGAACGAGUGUGAGAGUGGAAAGUUCACACUGUGACGGUAUCUUACCAGAAAGGGACGGCUAACUACGUG